GACAAGAGAGAGAGUGAGAAACCAAGAAUCACACCUGAUCAUUCUUUCUUUCCUCUCUUUAUCUUUUUCUUCGGUUGUUCGCCGCCCUUCAGCUCAUCAUCGACUUGUGUGGUUGAUCAUCUCUAAUGAGUUCUUCCUUCUACUGGGCUUCAUCGUCGAUUUCCUCCCCCUCCGAUCCACGUGGCAGCGUCUCCCUCUUCUUUCAUUUUCAGCAUCAUCACUAGUCUACCUGGAAUCUUUCAUUUUCGCUUUUCUUUUCUUCCUUGGCUGCGUGGAUUGUGAUAUCAGUUGAGAGAUCGUGGGAGAUUUUGUCGAGAAGCUUUGCUAUUUGGACUCGCUGUUGUUGCCGGAGUGGAGACCACUGUCGGUGAAUGCUUGGUCAUGUUCCAUCAUUGAUCGAUCUCUAAUCAUUUGAACUAAGAUUCAUUUAUUCUCCCCUACUCCGUGCUCAUUGAGAACUCGCCAUUGUUGAGGAGGUCUUGAUCUUAUCUCGGUCCCAUCCCAAUUCCUAACGAGAUGAGACGACUUUCAGGACGGGACGAGACAUAAGAAAAAAAAAUUUAGUCCCAAUCUUUUUUUAAGGACGGGACUAGGAUAGGGGUGUCUCGGUCCCAUCCUGUCUCGUGAACACCCUUAUUUGGUUGCUUGGUGAGGUAGGACACAUGCAAUCCAAUGAGAAAGUUGAAAAAUGACAAUUAGGAAUCCUAAAUUAAUGAAAUUUCAACAAUGAACUAAGGUCCUUAAUUGAAAUUAAAACACGAGUUUAAAAUUUUGAAAAGACACUAUUGAAAUUGCUAUUAUAACUUGGGAAUAUUGGUAAUCUUAAUUGGGACAAAUAAGAACUACACUUGAGAAUAGGUUGUUUCUCAUGUGAAACUAAAAUUUACAUACGAAAUUUUUAAAAGGCACUUAUGAAUAUACGAUAUUUACUUGAAAAUUUACCGAUGUCACUUCUGAAUAUGAACCUAAAUUACUUAUGAAUUUUUAUGCUUGUCAAUACAGAGGUAAAUUAUUUGGAAAAUUAAGAAAAGAGAUUAUUGAAAUCACUAUCAUGGGUUGAGACUAUUGUUAAUCUCAAUUAGAAAAUCAAGAUCCAAAGUGUUAUGAGUUGGAGUUAAAAAAAUUACUAUUAUAGGUUGAGAUUAUUGUUAAUCUUAUUUCCAAGUAUGGAUUUUGAUUUUUUUGAACUAAAAUUAACAAUAGUCCUAAUCUAUAAUAAUAAUUUUAGUAGUGGUAUUUCUUUAUUUUAAGUAAGGAUCAUGGUUUGUUAUUGAAAUUUUAAUAAUUUAAGAUUUUUAAUUUUAAUUAAUAAUGGUCUGAUGAAGUUCUUCUUGUCAUUUUUUCUAAACUUUUAUCUUGUAAGUGGCUUGAACAAUGUGGCUUGUACACGAAGCCAUAUGACCUGAAACUUUGGUUUUCUUUUGCUUUUAUCUCACCUUGAUGGAGCAUAUCAAGGAGCUGUAGGUGAGCCGGCAUUUUUGUGGAAUAAAUUUAGGUGAUAUAUUGAUUGAUGAUUUACAUUUUAAAUUCCUCAAUUUACAACUCAAUUGCUUGUUAUUUACUAUUGAACCUAUAGGAUUUGCAAUUUGUUUUAACAUUUUAAAGAUAAUUUACAUUUAUAUAAAAAUAAUUUUUUCAAAGAAAUUUGGCACUUGUCUUAUGAAAUCUGCAACUACUUUUAGGUAUUCCACAACUCAAUUACAUAGAAUAUUUAAACAUGAAUUUUGAGAUAAUUUACAACUUUACAAGCAAAAAAUUUUCAUGAUUAAAUUUUUCACACAAUAGUUGCAGUAAUGAUAAAAGAUAAAAGUUGUGAGCUCGUUGAAGAAUGUCUAGGUAUUUCACUAACUUCGUGCACGUAAGAAUUUAUUAAAUUAUUUUAUUUUUAGAGGUAAAAGGGCCGCAAUUUUAUGUUGAUCAACACUUUAGAUAGUGUUUGAUUGGAAGUUUUGGAAGUUCUCUCUCCUUAUCUGGUUGGUAAAAAUGGAAGGAAGGAUAAAUGAAUACCUUAUUAGCUUUAAAAAUUUAAGAGCUUUCAAAAAAAAAAAAGAGAAAAAACAAAGAGAGAGAGAGGUUCACCUUACCCACCGUUUAAUCCAUUUUCUCCAAAUUAGAGUUUUUAGGAGGAAGAGGAGGGGGGAAAUAUAUAUUGACUAAAUUGACCUUAUUAUAUUUUUGAAAAUUUAAAUUAUUUUUGAUAUUAAAUAAAAAUUAUGUUUGUUCUCCUUCUCUCUCAUUCUGAACUAAAUUUUAUCACAUAAUAAAAUAGGAAAAUUGGCCUAAAAUAUCUGAUCACAAAUUUAAUUGUAGAAAGGAAUGUGGGAAUUGGAGGACUAAGGUCUUGUGGUGACAUUAAAUAGAAUGACUAAAUGACUAAAUUACCUUCACCAAAUUCUCUCCCUCUCUCCUCUUCAGCUUGUCUCGUGCGAUCAAUUUCUCAUAGCAUUCUUGCCAGCCAUGAUUCCAACGGCAAUGGCGACAAUGGUGAGUAAGGUGAGGUCAGUGGUGACUGGUGACGUUCACCCACCCUCCUUCUUUGACUGUUAUCUCAAUUGUGCAUUGCAUAUUAUAAAUCAUAGACGUUAAAGUAUAUUCAUCAGAUUGCCACUCGCCACUUUGUACAUCACCGCUGCUCCUUCCUCUCCAAUCAUCAUCCUUCAUCAACCUCAUUGCUACUAUUAUUUUGUUUUCCUUAGUUCAUGAUCAUCCUUCAUCGACCCUUGAAUGCAAUGAGUCCUGUUAGUGUUUUCAGCUUUUCACAAUGGGGAGGUACGAGUGUUUGAAAGUUGUUUUCAACUUUAAUAGGAAUUGGUAGUUUUCAACUUUUUUUGGUUAGUGGUUUUAGCUUUAGAGUAGUUGGUAUUUUUUGCUCUGUUUGUAAAUUUUGACCUAGAUCUGGGAAUAUAAUUGUUUUUUAGUGAUACUAUUGUUGAAAUAGUCAUAUCUUUUGAUGUCAAUGAGUGGGAGACCAAUAAACAAACACAAUCCUAAAGUAAGAGAAUACCAUCUCUAUUAUCAAUGAUGCACAAACAUUUUGUUGAUAUCAUUGCUAAUUUUGGUCGUCCAUGUAUUUGUUGCAUUGUAAAGGCAUCCUCAAUUGAGAAAGGACUCUUGUGUUUACUAGGUGUAAAGGACAUAGUGCAAAUUCAUUGGCCUUAUAAGCACUAUUUGGUAGCAACUUUCAUGUGGAAUAAUUUCUUUGCCAGUUCUAGUAAACACUGGAUGCGUCCUUAUAAUUGGACUAGUUUCUUAUGAUUCAAUUAACAUGCCCUGGUAAUGAUAAGAAGGCUGAGAUGUUGUAGUAGUGCACACUUCCAUUUAACUUUCCAGUUUCUUACGAUUCAAUUGUUCAAUGGCAUCUUUGUUAACAUUUGUUAUGGGGUAUGGCUUCAUUUUUAUGUUAUGCUCAUGGGUGUUCUACGGUGGUUUCCGUUAAUCCAUUUAUUGAUGUAGGUACACUGAAUGGAUUUGCUGCAAUGCUUGUUUGCUCUUGAUUUUCAAGUUUGUCUAAUCCUCCCCGGCUAUACUUCUCUUUGGUUCCAAGUUGCUUCCAUUCAAUAGUAAUAGUUAAAAUAUUCUAAAUCAUACACAUUCAAUAUAGAAUAUCAAGUAUGAGAGUCAAGUUCAUGCUGUAGACUACUUGAAAUGUGAAUCAUAAUGCCAAUAUCUUUAGGGCAUAUUAAGUUGGGUGAAGUAUUUAUUUUUUAAAGUAUUUUUACCUUGUGCAUUUGUUUAUUUUUUGAAGUAUCUACUUUCCUGUCAUUGAACUUUUACUUGAUAUGAAGGGAUAAGAGUAGGACAUAUUAGAGAGUGCUGAAAAUUAUUGAUUUUCUAGAGCCUUCUGAGCUAAACUUAUGUGAAGAUUCUACAACAGUUACAGAGGAGCAAUGUUUUCAACUUGCUGAAGAUUAUGAUUCUCAUAUUUAUGUAUCUAUCUUCUUGGAAAUGUAUUGGAAAUUGUAGAAGUGGAAUGCAACUGUAGUGGGAUUGUGUCUAUAUACUAUAGGUUUGAAUUAUGAUUCUGGCUUGCUUAAAUGAUUUCUAGUGAUAUUUUAAUUUUAUAUUUUAAUGAA